UGCAGUGGUGCAAUCUCAGUUCACCACAAUCUCCACCUCCCAAUCUCAAGCAAUUCUGCCUCAGACUCCUGAGUAGCUGGGAUUACAGGUACAUGCAAUCACACCUGGCUAAUUUUGUAUGUUUACUGGAGUCAGGGUUUCACUAUGUUAGCUAGGUUGGUCUUGAACUCCUGACCUCAUGAUCCACCCGCCUUGGCCUCCCAAAGUGCUGGGAUUACAGGAGUGAGCCACCACACCAGGCCUUAGCCUUUUUUCUUCUGUCACCAAUGACAGGUGAUGUUCACCUGUGCCACACACUCAUGAGCCUAGCAAAUGGUGUGGGUAAAUUCCAACUGAGUGCCUGUGACUCCACACUCUUACUUCCCACUCAACUGGCAUUGGAAGUAUAACCGUCAAUAUGAUCUAAUUUACACAUAUUUCUCUCUUAGUAACCUUUCUGACAACAGCCCUCACAAUCAAAUGAGACUGGGUUACAGAACACAGGGCACAGUGGCUUUGGCCCCAGCCUGUAGCCCUGUUUGCACAGCUCUGCACCCGCAGCCCCGCAUCUUCCCCAGGUUGUGAGGCAAUAAGGAGAAGGUCAUCGAGGAAAGACGCCGACUGGGUGUGCAGGGCUCCAGCACAGAAAAAGCUCUGGUCUGUGGGGUCCCCAGUCCCUAUUUUACCCUAUUAAAAAUAUAUGUGUGUAUGAAUAAAAUGAUCAAUUGCAUAACCUUCUAUCUACACAAGAUUUUUGUUCGUUUUUUUUGAGAUGGAGUCUCGCUUUGUUACCAGGCUGGAGGGCAGUGUGGCGCGAUCUCGGCUCAUUACAACCUCUGCUUCCAGGGUUCAAGCGAUUCUCCUGCCUCAGCUUCCGGAGUAGCUGGGACUACAGGCGCGCACAACCAUGCCCAACUAAUUUUUGUAUUUUUAGUAGAGACGGGGUUUUACCAUUUUGGCCAGGCUAGAAUUGUCUCGAACUCUUGAUCUUGUGAUCCACCCUCCUUGGCCUCCCAAAGUGCUGGAAUUAGAGGCCUGAGGCACCACGCCCGGCCUACACAGGAUUUAAAAAUAACCCUGGGCACGGGUGGGCCCAGCCCAUAGAGAAAGCACUUCCUGAAAAUGACUGAAGCCAGAAGCCUGUCACUCUCGCCUUAUUCAAUGCAGUGUCUGGUCGCAUCUUCUGUCACUCCAGAACUGAGGGCGCGGACCCGCAGCUGUAUCCAUUCAGGGCGCUGGGGCGGGAACUGUCCAAUCAGGUUCACAGUCAGAGAGGAAGGGGCGGCUGCCAGUGUCCGGCGGGGACUUUGUUUCUGGCUCUACUCGGAGAUCCAGUUUAGUUCUUCGCUUCCCUGUGUUCUCUUUCCGGGAGGUCUCGGUGAUUCUGCCACAGCCUCAGCUUCCAUCGCUCUGUGACUUCAUGGUGUUGGAAGAUUCAUAGACUCCAGGACAUUUCUGAAACCGAGAAAUGGAGCCCACCCUGCCACAAAUACCAGCAAGUUCUGCUACAGUAAUGAAAAUAUGGGUCACACUGACCUAUUCCCAUGAAAACCAAACCGAAGAGUUCCUAUGACCAAAUGUAAAGGAGAAACUUCACUCUCAUGAAUGUAUCUUGAACCUCUCAUACUUAAUUCUGGCCUCACCUCAGAGUCACAUGAGACACAAUAAAAACACAAUAAAUA